rnacentral:rRNA from 1 species
UACGGAGGGAGCUAGCGUUGUUCGGAAUUACUGGGCGUAAAGCGCGCGUAGGCGGCUUUGUAAGUUAGAGGUGAAAGCCCGGGGCUUAACCUCGGAACUGCUUUCAAAACUGCUAGUCUUGAGUGAAGUAGGGGAUGAUGGAAUUCCUAGUGUAGAGGUGAAAUUCUUAGAUAUCAAGCAGAACACCUGCGGCGAAGGCGGCCUUCUGGACGAUGACUGACGCUGAGACACGAAAGCGUGGGGAGCAAACAGG